CCCCAGUCUCCAACUCUUCACUCGCGGAUUAUUGUGAAGCCAAGCCAACCAAUAGUUCCUCUUCCAGAAACCCCUUCAAAAAACCCUAGAAUUCUCAAUUCCUCGAAAUUUCAUCCCUAGCUUAGCUUCGCUGAUUUUGUUCCAACGCGAAUUCCGGCGAGAUCUCAAGCUUUUCGUUUCGCGGGAAACGAAUUUCUGAAGGUUCGAUGGACUUCGACGAGUACGAUUACUUGGAGAAAGCCGUGGAGGAGCAAGAUGAUAGGGAGACGAAGAAACCAAAGAGGAGCGACAGUGAGAGGAACGAGAAAAGCACCAGAAAGAGAGAGGUAGACGAGGAAGCUGGCUCCGGUGGUCGCGAGGACGAGGAGGUGAAAGUCAAGCGGUCGAGAAGCGAGCAUGAAAAUGGGAAGGAGGAUAGGGAUCACUCGGGGCGAGCGAGGGAUCGGCAUCGAAGAGACAGAGAGGAGGAAACAGACGGGGGAAAAGAGAGGGAUAAAGAAAGGAAUCGUACGAGAGAGAGGGGUAGCAGUGAGAAGGAAAGGGAGAGAGACAGGGACAGAGAGGAGAGAGAUAGAGAUAGACAUAAGGAGAAGGAGAGGGAGAGAGACAAGGAUAGAAAGGAUAAGGAAAGAGAUAGGGAGAGGCAUAAGGAGAAGGACAGAGAGAGGGACAAGGAUAGGAGGGACAAGGAGAGGGAGAGGGAGAAGGAGAAGGAGAAAGAAAGAGAGAGGAGAGACAGGGAGAGGAGGGAGCGGGAGAGGGAAGAGGAGAGAUCGAGGCGAAGCCGAAGCCGGUCAGUUCGGGAGCGAGAACGUGAAGUUGAUGUCAGAGAAAGCAGGAGAAUGAAGGAAAAGAAAGACACGACAGAGCCUGAAGCGGAUCCAGAGAGAGAUCAAAGAACUGUAUUUGCUUAUCAGAUGCCUUUGAAGGCCACAGAGAGAGAUGUUUACGAAUUCUUUUCAAAAGCGGGAAAGGUGAGAGAUGUCCGGCUGAUCAUGGACAGAAAUUCUAGACGGUCAAAAGGAGUUGGGUAUGUUGAGUUUUAUGAUGCGAUGUCUGUGCCUAUGGCUAUUGCUCUCUCUGGUCAACUACUUCUUGGGCAACCUGUAAUGGUUAAACCUUCGGAGGCUGAGAAGAAUCUUGUUCAAUCAAAUACAACUGGGGCCUCUGGUGCAGGUCCAUAUGGAGCAGUAGACAGGAAACUAUAUGUUGGAAAUCUACACUUUAAUAUGACAGAAACUCACCUUCGAGAGAUUUUUGAAGCAUUUGGUCCUGUGGAGCUUGUGCAGUUACCUCUUGACCUUGAGUCCGGUCACUGUAAGGGUUUUGGAUUUGUUCAAUUUGCCCAUCUAGAGCAUGCAAAGGCUGCACAAAGCUUGAAUGGGAAAUUAGAAAUUGCUGGCCGAACCAUCAAGGUUUCAUCUGUAACGGAUCACAUUGGAGCACAAGAGAGCGUUGCAAAAUCAAACGACCUUGAUGAUGAUGAAGGAGGCGGUCUGGUUGGUGCAUUGAAUGCUCAAUCAAGAGCUCUGCUUAUGCAGAAGCUUGACCGCACUGGCAUUGCUACUAGUAUUGCAGGAUCUCUUGGAGCUCCAGUGUUGAAUGGGUCAGCCCCAAAUCAGAGAUCUACGAGCUUGCCUGUAAAUGGUCAAGCUGCAGUUGCUGCACCAGUACUUCCGGCGAAUUUUACUCCACCUGUUUUACAAUCUGUUGGCAGUCCUAGUGAAUGUUUACUAUUGAAAAACAUGUUUGAUCCUUCGACGGAGACAGCACCAGAUUUUGACAUGGAGAUCAAAGAAGAUGUUGAAGAGGAGUGUUCUAAAUACGGCCGCGUUAAACAUAUAUAUGUGGAUAAAUACUUCCGGAAUAGGGAUGGAAAAAAAUUACUAAUGCCUUCAUGGAUGGGAGAAUCUUAUUUUCCCUAUUUAAUUUUAGGCUGGUUAUGGAAAGGGCUAUCUUAUGCUGACAUUAGCCUUUGUCAUGCAUUAUCACAAAUUUAUAACUAUACUUGAAUGACAACAUUUUCCAUUUAGUUUAUACACAGCCAGAUUAGUUAUUUAACUAGAACUAGUUGUAGUAAUGAUCGAACAUUUAGAUGGUACUUAAAUUAUUUGGACUUUUACAUGGUUAGCUAAUGAUGGUUCGGGAAACUUACACUUUCUCACUGCAGCCCCACUGUCAAUAUAUCUAGAAGUUAAAAGUUUAGGAAUUUAAAUAAUAUGCAGUUAUUGCUUCCAUAAAAAGAAUGCAAUUAUUGUUAGGCUCAUCAUUUUAUGUUGAUGGUACUUGAAUUAACGGAGAAGAGAGAGGGCAGGUAAAGGUAGGGGGGAUAGUGUAGGGAAUUGCUCUUACACUUCAUGCAUUUGCUAACGUAUUAAGACUCCAUUUGAUAACUGUUGCGUUAAAAGUUUUAAGUUUUUGAAAUCUACCUUCAUCUUUGUAUUUCUAUAUUAUGUUCACUUUCUACUAAUGUUUUCGAAAACUAAAUGGGCAGCUUUUUAAAUAUAGUUUUUACUUUUAGAUUUUGACUGAGAAUUCAAAUUUCUUUAUAACAGUGUCAUUAAAUUGGGAGAAAACCUCUGAACCAUAAGUGAUGCUCUCUCCACCUUUAUAUCAGAGAACGAAUCUUUCGAUUACGUGAUCAAAUAGAUGUUUGUUCUAUCUUUUCAUCGUUUUUCUUUUUCUUUUAUUAUUUUUCAAUGUGCAGAAAUAGCGCGGGAUGUGUGUAUCUGCAGUAUGAUACCGUGGAAGCGGCCAUAAAUGCUCAACGUGCAAUGCACCUGAGAUGGUUUGCAGGCAGACAGAUAUCUGUCUUGUUCAUGCAACCGCAGGUGUAUGAAGCUAAGUUUAUAGGAGCUUGAAUGCCGUCUGUGGUUCUUGUCACUUACGAGUAAUCAGGAGAUUCCUCUAGCCAAUCCGUGCUCUAUAUUUUCUCGGGUGACAUCCCAUCCUGUCCCGUUCGGUCAAUGUCUAAUGUCUUCUCCUUUCUGUAAUAGGUGGUUAUAGAAGUACUGGUUAAAAUUGGGUCAAUUGUCUUAAUAGAAAAGUAAAACGUUGGGUUCUUUUCAUAUGGGGGAGGAUAUUGGUACCUAUUCUUAAUUUCCUGCUUUGUAACACCCAGUGUCAAGCGAAUACUUUUUGUUGGCUUGGAUGCAUUUAGUGUUGACUUCUUAUGAACAUUCCUCUUGUAAUGCAUUUUGUACAAGUUUUCCAGAAAUUAGUAAACAUUUCUUUGGAGUUGGGUUUUCUUGCA